UCAUUUUCAUCUUCUCCAAAUAGAUAUUGAGUUACCCGCUGAAAGCACAACACCUCUUCAUUAGUGCCAUUGUCAUCUUCUUCAUCGCAGCACCAUCUCCUGAGGUCUCAUCGUCGUCGCCUUCGUCUUUGAGAUCUCGGCGACGUCGCCUUCGUCUUCUGAGAUCUCGGUGCCGUCGCCUUCGUCUUCUGAUAUCUCGGCGCCGUCGCCUCGUCUUUUGAUAUCUUGGCACCGUCGCCGUCGCCUUCAAUUUUUUCAACGAUAUCUAUUCCCUAAUCCAUAUUUUCUAAUUGUCGAUAACCUCCUCAAACAGAUAAGUAUCUAUCAGUAGCAGAAUAAUAUGUUGACUUGUAUAUCAUACUUCUCAUAUUUUUAAGCUUAUUGGAAAGCUGGUUGCUCUGUCACAAAAAGGUAUUCUCCUCUCCCCGUCGAUUUAAGUUUUGCUAUGUUUGAUCUAUUUUCUGUUUGUAAUUAAUAGUUCUAUUUUUUACUGAUUUUGAAAUUGAACUUCGAAUAAGAAAACAAGCAUACAAUUGUUGUUGCACAACUUUGCUUCUUUUUGUUAUGUAUAAUCUGGGGAAGGACUUAGUGUAGCAUGAAGAAUAUGAGUGCUUGCUGAACACCAUGGAAGCAUGUGUCAUUGAUGUUUGGCCUCAGUUGGUAAGAAGUUAAGAGAUUAUUAGGAAUUCACCACUUGUCACUUAAUACUAAUUAUUAAUUAACUUUAUUUGAGGAUGAAGAUUGAGGAGUAUUAUGGUUUGUUAAGAAAGAAUGUUGUUAAUGUGUAGUUACAAAUUUUUUUGGUUAUUGUCUGCAUAAUUACCUAAUUUUGGUUGUUAUACUUAUUUUAGUAUUGUUUUGUUGUAAUUGUAUGGAUUUGUUUGUUGCCAUUGCGUUCAUCAAUGGUAAUUAUAAUUGAAAUUUAAUAUGAAAAAUUAUUGAAGUAAUUUAUUAAAUCCAAGAGUCAAAUAAAAAAAGUGAAACUAUCCUAGCUUCUUGAAAGUUUAGAAGAACAAAUGACAUCCAAUCUUACUCCUACUCCAUUUGCUAUAGGUAGUACACUUUCAUCAUUAAUUCUCAAUCCAAGUACUUCUGAAAACACUCAACUAAUGUCAGAUCAAAGAGAACAUGUACCUAACAAAGAAGCUGAAAAAGAAGGUGAUUAAAUUAGAGUGUUAUCUAUUCACGAGUCUUCAAAUAUUGACAUAGGUCAAAGGAGGCUAAAUUAGACUUGGCAGAGGAUGGGUAUGUUUUAACAUUUUUAUUUUUUGAAUUUGACCACUUAUAUUGUA